rnacentral:snRNA from 14 species
GUGCUCACUUUGGCAGCAGGUACACUAAAACUGGAACAACACAGAGAAGGUUUGCAUGGCCCCCAUGGAAGAAUGGCAGAAGUCAGUAGAGACUUCACUGAGAAAAAU